rfam:Myotis davidii contig49555, whole genome shotgun sequence.
GGCAGUUCUUGGGUGACACACCCUGGAACCAAAGAGGAGAGAGCCCGAUUCCAGGGUGCGUCACUCAAGAACUGCC